AGGAUCAUUAGUGAAUUAUAGGGCGUCUACUUGUAGAGCCUGACCUCCACUUCUAACACUGUGCACUUGAUGGCGAGGUAAUGGAACUUUCGAGUGAAACUACCUUGCGGCUUCAUUUUAAACAUUAGUCAAAGUAUGUCAUGAAAUAAAAAACAAAAAAAAACUUUCAACAACGGAUCUCUUGGCUCUCGCAUCGAUGAAGAACGCAGCGAAAUGUGAUAAGUAAUGUGAAUUGCAGAAUUCAGUGAAUCAUCGAAUCUUUGAACGCACCUUGCGCUCCCUGGUAUUCCGGGGAGCAUGCCUGUUUGAGUGUCAUGAACUCUUCAACCCACCAGUUUCUAGUAGACUGCGUUGGUGUUUGGAUUUUGAGCGUUGCUAGUCUGACUAGCUCGUUCGUAAUAUAUUAGCAUCUCUAAUUCGAAUUCGGAUUGACUCAGUGUAAUAGACUAUUCGCUGAGGACACUUUUAUUAGUGGCCGUACUAGAACCAGUAGAAGCUUCCAACUAUUGUAGUCAACUUUAAUUUAGACCUCAGAUCAGGCAGGAUUACCCGCUGAACUUAA
rnacentral:rRNA from 1 species